GUCAUAGAGGCUCUUGACGUCAGGCGUUACCUAGUACCACAAAAAAGACAGGCUAUUCAUGGAGCUAGGAGAAAAGCAGCCUAAUUUCCUGGGAAAAGCAAAGCCGAAUUCUGUUCCCUGAUUGGACGCACCACUGGUUUUUCAUAUGAGUGUCACGGAAACCGGUCUUAGAUGAAGAACUUAUGACAUUGCGAGUGCUACGGCUUAACGUGGAGUUCAGAGGCGGGUUUGCACAACAAACAGAUGUUCUUUGAUGUCAGCUGCAGUGAGGGGGAGGCAAAAAAUGGGAACGCUAAAAAGAAGUAGGAGGAAGGUGUGAGAACUCUAAUCACCAUGCAUCGCUCAGAAAGAAAUCUAUUGUAUCUCUUAGCUCAAACACUGGCUUUGAGUCACAGUUACAACGCCGGCUCACUGAUCCAGAGAAGCUAAAUUACACCGGCUGUCAACCAAACCUACGUAGAGCUCCGUUCAGGCUUGUAAUAAAUUAUGUAAAAGAGCCUAACAGCAAGAAAAUGACCGUGCCAUUUACUGUCACUUCAGAGAAUUUGUAUUAUGACAUUUCACGAACGCUUGGCCAAUUAUACUGGAUAGAUCUAUUGCAUAAACUAAAUAAUAGUUUCUCCACUCCAGCUAUCUGACUUAGUUAUUCAUUAAACCACCCACAUCACAAGUGCACAGUACGGCUCAUGACAUGUACUCCAUGAACAGCUCAUUUAGGUUAGAGUGUGUGUGUCAGCACUGUGUAUAAGUUAUAGGCCCACAUGCCUACAAAACCAGUAGUAUUUUCCAAAACACAUAACAUAUCUUCACAAUUUAUUUCCACUGCAGUCAACCCAGUGUAAAAGAGUACUGGUGUUUGUUAUGUUAUCAUAUUACAACAAAUCUAUGUAAUAUCUAUAUUUUUACCAUUUGAAACAAAUUCAUGUUUAUCUGUUGACCGCAUGAUUCAUUUUAAAUUUGAAUCACUAAGAAUUUAU